rnacentral:rRNA from 1 species
GACGAACGCUGGCGGCGUGCUUAACACAUGCAAGUCGAACGGGCCCGCCCCUGUUUUUGGGGGUGGGUUGAGUGGCGAACGGGUGAGUAUCACGUGAGUAACCUGCCCCCUGCUCCUGGAUAACUGCUUGAAAGGGCGGCUAAUACGGGGUGUGCCGGCUGGUCCGCAUGGGCCUGGUCGGGAUAGUUUCAUCUUCGGGUGUUUCGGUGGGGGAUGGGCUCGCGGCCUAUCAGCUUGUUGGUGGGGUGAUGGCCCACCAAGGCGGUGACGGGUAGCCGGCCUGAGAGGGUGGGCGGCCACACUGGGACUGAGACACGGCCCAGACUCCUGCGGGAGGCAGCAGUGGGGGGUAUGGCACAAUGGGCGGAAGCCUGAUGCAGCGACGUCGCGUGAGGGAUGGAGGCCUUCGGGUGGUGAACCUCUUUCUCCGGUGGUGAAGGCCCUGUCCGUUGCGGCGGGGUUGACGGUAGCCGGGGAUGAAGCGCCGGCUAACUACGUG